rnacentral:rRNA from 1 species
CAAUAAUACAAUAAGAAUAAGAUCUAUCAGUUAGUUGUUAAGGUAAUGGCUUAACAAGACUAUGACGGAUAACGGUAUUACUUUGUAAUAUUCCGGAGAAGGAGCCUGAGAGAUUGCUACUAAGUCUAAGGAUUGCAGCAGGGGCGAAACUUGACCUAUGAUAUGAUAUUGAGGCAGUUAUGAGUAGUAUUUUAUAAUUAUUGUAGUAUUGUAAGUAUAUGCUACAAGAUAAAUCGGAGGGCAAAUCGAGUGCCAGCAGCCGCGGUAAUACUUGUUCCGAUAGUGUGUAUGAUGAUUGAUGCAGUUAAAAAGUCUGUAGUUUAUAUUUAAUAAACAUUGUGAGGUAUAUUGUAUGGUUAGGAGAGAGAUGAAAUGUGAUAACCCUAACUGGAUGAACAGAAGCGAAAGCUAUAUACUUAAAUGUAUUAUUAGAACAAGGACGUAAGCUAGAGGAUCGAAGAUGAUUAGAUACCAUUGUAGUUCUAGCAGUAAACUAUGUUGAAUCAUAGAUAUACAAAUUGUGUAUUUAUGUAAAGAAAUUAAGAUUAUAUUGACUCUGGGGAUAGUAUGAUCGC